AUCGAAAUGGCUCAGUUGGGAGAGCGUUAGACUAUAGAUCGGAAGGUCCUCGGUUAGAUCCCGGGAUUAGCAA
rnacentral:tRNA from 1 species